rnacentral:rRNA from 1 species
UCCAGACUCCUACGGGAGGCAGCAGUGGGGGAUAUUGCACAAUGGGGGAAACCCUGAUGCAGCGACGCCGCGUGGGUGAAGAAGUAUUUCGGUAUGUAAAGCCCUAUCAGCAGGGAAGAAAGAAGACGGUACCUGACUAAGAAGCCCCGGCUAACUACGUGCCAGCAGCCGCGGUAAUACGUAGGGGGCGAGCGUUAUCCGGAUUCACUGGGUGUAAAGGGAGCGUAGACGGCCGUGCAAGCCAGGAGUGAAAGCCCGGGGCCCAACCCCGGGACUGCUCUUGGAACUGUGCGGCUGGAGUGCGGGAGGGGCAGGCGGAAUUCCUGGUGUAGCGGUGAAAUGCGUAGAUAUCAGGAGGAACACCGGCGGCGAAGGCGGCCUGCUGGACCGCGACUGACGUUGAGGCUCGAAAGCGUGGGGAGCGAACAGGAUUAGAUACCCGCGUAAU